UGCAGAGCAAAUUCCAGGGAAGCCAGG
rnacentral:piRNA from 1 species